rnacentral:rRNA from 1 species
CCUACGGGUGGCAGCAGUGAGGAAUAUUGGUCAAUGGCCGGAAGGCUGAACCAGCCAAGCCGCGUGAGGGAGGAAGGCGCAGAGCGUCGCAGACCUCUUUUGCCGGGGGACAAAAGGCCGGACUAGUCCGGUCCUGAGGGUACCCGGAGAAAAAGCAUCGGCUAACUCCGUGCCAGCAGCCGCGGUAAUACGGGGGAUGAGAGCGUUAUCCGGAUUCCUGGGGUUUAAAGGGUGCGGAGGGGGGCCUUUAAGGCCGCGGGGAAAUCGCGGGGCUCAACCCCGCCGGACCGUAGGACCUGGGGGCCUUGAGUGCGGCGGAGGCAUGCGGAAUGCGGGGUGUAGCGGUGAAAUGCAUAGAUAUCGCGCAGAACCCCGAUUGCGAAGGCAGCGUGCCGUGCCGCCACUGACGCUGAGGCACGAAAGCGCGGGGAUCGAACAGGAUUAGAUACCCUUGUAGUC